rnacentral:rRNA from 1 species
CCCUUAGAUGUCCUGGGCUGCACGCGCGUUACACUGAUGCAUUCAACGAGCUUAUAACCUUGGCCGAGAGGCCUGGGCAAUCUUGUUAACGUGCAUCGUGAUAGGGAUAGAUUAUUGAAAUUAUUAAUCUUGAACGAGGAAUUCCUAGUAAACGCAGAUCAUCAAUCUGCAUUGAUUACGUCCCUGCCCUUUGUACACACCGCCCGUCGCACCUACCGAUUGGAUGGUCCGGUGAAGCCUCGGGAUUGUGGUUCUUGCCGCUUUAUUGUAGCGUGACCGCGAGAACUUGUCUAAACCUUAUCAUCUAGAGGAAGGUGAAGUCGUAACA